rnacentral:misc_RNA from 1 species
AACGCACAUUGCGCCCCCUGGCAUUCCGGGGGGCAUGCCUGUUCGAGCGUCAUUGCAACCCUCAAGCUCUGCUUGGUGUUGGGCUCGCCCUGUAGGGCCGGCCUCAAAGUCAGUGGCGGCACCGUCUGACCCCAAGCGUAGUAAUACUUGCCGCUUGUUGGGUGCGGGCGGGGGCUUGCUAACAACCCCCACUACUACCGGUUGACCUCGGAUCAGGUAGGGAUACCCGCUGAACUUAA